UUUAAAAAGAAAUAAGAAAUAAGAGUUCAGGUAUUCUCCAUCGCCACCUCUGCUUCCGGCCGUCACCGCCUUUACUUCCCGCUCUAGCCACCGCCUCUUCUUCCAAAUCCAUCUACCGCUUCUGCUUCCAGCUUCAGACGCCGUACUCCAAUCAGCUGUAGCCGUCGCACUCCUUUCAAAUCCAAUUGUCGACGUUCUCGGCCUCCUCAAAGAAACCGACCCAUUCUCGGCCUUAAAAGCGAAUCACUAGCGUUGCUUUGUCAUCUGCGUACAAGAUUUUAACUCUUGAUGUGUUGGAGUCAAGGUUUAUCAGAUGUUGUCAUUUUUACUCUCGCGUGCUACACGCAACACCACGAGAAGAUUCCUCAAUCCUUCUCCAUCCUCUUCGUUCUCUCUGUUCAACAAUACAGCAAUUGUCUCUUCAGGUUUCUCCGAAGAUUGCUCAUCGAAAACUAGUGCCAUUGUCCCUUCAGUUAACCAAGUUAUUCGAUCUUACUACUGGGUUACUCCGAACAAUUAUUUAUCCUGCGAGAAUCAGAAGUCCAACUUUAAUUUAAGGUUUGUUGGAAGAUUUUCAACCUUAUCGAGCUCAAAGAACAAUGACGAUCGGGAGAAAGGAGAGUUAUUGAAGGAGAAAGAUAUUUCUUGGAUUGAUUUAUACUUGCCGAGAUACACUAGGCCUUAUGCGCUGCUUGCUCGGCUUGAUAAGCCUAUAGGAACCUGGCUGCUUGCUUGGCCUUGCAUGUGGUCAAUUUCGCUGGCUUCAUCCCCAGGACAUCUUCCUGACUUUAGGAUGAUGGCAUUAUUUGGUUGUGGGGCUUUGCUUUUAAGGGGUGCUGGAUGUACCAUAAAUGAUCUCCUUGAUAGAGAUAUCGAUACCAAGGUGGAGCGUACUAAGCUGAGACCAGUUGCAAGUGGCCUUUUGUCACCAUUUCAAGGGCUUUGUUUUCUUGGUUUUCAAUUAUCCUUGGGUCUUGGAAUUCUUCUUCAGCUCAACAAUUAUAGCCGCGUUUUGGGGGCUUCAUCCUUGUUGCUAGUCUUCUCCUAUCCACUCAUGAAGAGAGUAACAUUUUGGCCUCAAGCCUUUCUAGGUUUGACAUUUAACUGGGGGGCGUUAUUAGGGUGGUCUGCUAUUAAAGGAAGUUUAGAUCCAGCUGUUGUGCUGCCACUGUAUGCGGGUGGAGUAUUUUGGACCCUUGUGUAUGAUACAAUUUAUGCACAUCAGGAUAAGGAGGACGAUCUAAAAGUGGGUGUAAAAUCAACCGCCUUGAGAUUCGAGAAUUCAACAAAGGAAUGGAUCACUGGGUUUGGCAUUGCCUGCAUAGCUAGUCUUGCCCUUAGUGGGGUCAAUGCUAAUAUUGGGUGGCCAUUUUAUGCAUGUUUGACGGCUGCUUCUGGACAUUUAGCUUGGCAGAUAUGGACCGUUAACUUAUCAUGCCGGUCCGAUUGCAAUAGGAAGUUUGUUUCAAAUAAAUGGUUUGGUGCUAUUAUUUUCAGCGGGGUUUUGUUUGGUAGAUACGUGUCAUGAAGGUAUUAUUACUUCUAUUUUUUGUAUAAGCUUUUUGUUCUUGAUUUGCUCCUCGCAUUCCUAGGAUUAAGUUAAUGGUAAAAUUUUGUAACUUAUGGAUAGGGGCUUUUGGUGAAAUUCAAAGCAUAUAGCAAUAUUCAGUCCCGGUUCCUGUGUUCUUAACAUUUAACAAGUUUAAUCAUUAACUUAUUUUUUGAAAUUUAA